CAAGAGCUUGCUCUCGGGUGACGAGCGGCGGACGGGUGAGUAAUGUCUGGGAAACUGCCUGAUGGAGGGGGAUAACUACUGGAAACGGUAGCUAAUACCGCAUAAUGUCGCAAGACCAAAGUGGGGGACCUUCGGGCCUCAUGCCAUCAGAUGUGCCCAGAUGGGAUUAGCUAGUAGGUGGGGUAACGGCUCACCUAGGCGACGAUCCCUAGCUGGUCUGAGAGGAUGACCAGCCACACUGGAACUGAGACACGGUCCAGACUCCUACGGGAGGCAGCAGUGGGGAAUAUUGCACAAUGGGCGCAAGCCUGAUGCAGCCAUGCCGCGUGUGUGAAGAAGGCCUUCGGGUUGUAAAGCACUUUCAGCGGGGAGGAAGGCGAUAAGGUUAAUAACCUUGUCGAUUGACGUUACCCGCAGAAGAAGCACCGGCUAACUCCGUGCCAGCAGCCGCGGUAAUACGGAGGGUGCAAGCGUUAAUCGGAAUUACUGGGCGUAAAGCGCACGCAGGCGGUCUGUCAAGUCGGAUGUGAAAUCCCCGGGCUCAACCUGGGAACUGCAUUCGAAACUGGCAGGCUAGAGUCUUGUAGAGGGGGGUAGAAUUCCAGGUGUAGCGGUGAAAUGCGUAGAGAUCUGGAGGAAUACCGGUGGCGAAGGCGGCCCCCUGGACAAAGACUGACGCUCAGGUGCGAAAGCGUGGGGAGCAACAGGAUAGAUACCCUGGUAGUCACGCCGUAACGAUGUCGAUUUUGAGGUGUGCCCUGAGGCGUGG
rnacentral:rRNA from 1 species